rnacentral:rRNA from 1 species
UACGUAGGGUCCGAGCGUUGUCCGGAAUUAUUGGGCGUAAAGGGCUCGUAGGCGGUUUGUCGCGUCGGGAGUGAAAACCUACAGCUUAAACUGUGGGCUUGCUUUCGAUACGGGCAGACUUGAGGCAUGCAGGGGAGAACGGAAUUCCUGGUGUAGCGGUGGAAAUGCGCAGAUAUCAGGAGGAACACCGGUGGCGGAAAGGGCGGUUCUCUGGGCAUGUUCUGACGCUGAGGAGCGAAAGUGUGGGGGAGCGAACAGG